UUAGAUUGUGCUGCGUUCUACAUGAAUAAAGAGAUACUGCGUACAGCUCAGCCAUGAGUCUCUGGUCGUCUGUCUCCUGUCUGCGAAGCUAGCCGGGCAAUGAGUGAAUUCACUGCUUCUUGACAUGCCCAUCUAAGACUGUCUGAGUUUCCAUGUUGAGAGUAACAGUACAGUCACACAAGAAAGAGACAUGUAGAAUCCCAAAAGAUCCAACCUCCACAGCAGAAAUGGACUCACUACUUGAAUGGAGUCGAAUCAAUAUUCAACACAUAAUGAGUUCCCGAUAAAUCUUUGUUUAGAGCCUGGAGUGCAGAUAGUAAGCGGGUAAUCUGUAAAUAGUAAUGUAAAAGGGAUUCCCAGGUGACAAUGUCUCCUCUCACGGAAAGAAACAGCAAUUCUUUGUCUCAGUGGACACAUCAGAACCACAAGAAGAAGACUUCAAAGAAUCUCAGCAAGUACUUCGACUGCUACAUGUCCCCAUCAGGCGACACUGCUCACUGCCUAUAAGAUUUCCACUUGCCUGAUGUGGACAUCUCUGCUGGAGAAUUCUAAUGGUACUUCUCACACCCUGCUGUCAGUGGUGUCCCCUCUUAGACUCUCCUGUUUCCUCUUGACUGGUCAAUCUGCAGGUUGUUUGAUAAUUUUAGCAAUACCUGGUAGAACCACUGCCAUGGCCUUUGUAUAUCAACUUUUGAAGGUAUU